rnacentral:rRNA from 1 species
GAUGAACGCUGGCGGCGUGCCUAGUACAUGCAAGUCGAGCGAACGGACGAGAAGCUUGCUUCUCUGAUGUUAGCGGCGGACGGGUGAGUAACACGUGGAUAACCUACCUAUAAGACUGGGAUAACUUCGGGAAACCGGAGCUAAUACCGGAUAAUAUUUUGAACCGCAUGGUUCAAAAGUGAAGGACGGUCUUGCUGUCACUUAUAGAUGGAUCCGCGCUGCAUUAGCUAGUUGGUAAGGUAACGGCUUACCAAGGCAACGAUGCAUAGCCGACCUGAGAGGGUGAUCGGCCACACUGGAACUGAGACACGGUCCAGACUCCUACGGGAGGCAGCAGUAGGGAAUCUUCCGCAAUGGGCGAAAGCCUGACGGAGCAACGCCGCGUGAGUGAUGAAGGUCUUCGGAUCGUAAAACUCUGUUAUUAGGGAAGAACAUAUGUGUAAGUAACUGUGCACAUCUUGACGGUACCUAAUCAGAAAGCCACGGCUAACUACGUG